UACGAAGGUCCCAAGCGUUAUCCGGAUUUAUUGGGCUUAAAGGGUGCGUAGGCGGGCUAUUAAGUCAGUGGUGAAAGCCCCAAGCUUAACUUGGGAACUGCCAUUGAUACUGAUGGUCUUGAGUACAUUUGAGGUGGGCGGAAUGUGUCAUGUAGCGGUGAAAUGCUUAGAUAUGACACAGAACACCGAUUGCGAAGGCAGCUCACUAAACUGUGACUGACGCUGAGGCACGAAAGCGUGGGGAGCAAACAGG
rnacentral:rRNA from 1 species